CCACGGGUGGCUGCAGUGGGGAAUAUUGGACAAUGGGCGAAAGCCUGAUCCAGCCAUGCCGCGUGUGUGAAGAAGGCCUUCGGGUUGUAAAGCACUUUCAGUGGGGAAGAAAGCCUUGGGGCUAAUACCCUCGAGGAAGGACAUCACCCACAGAAGAAGCACCGGCUAACUCCGUGCCAGCAGCCGCGGCAAUACGGAGGGUGCGAGCGUUAAUCGGAAUUACUGGGCGUAAAGCGCGCGUAGGCGGUCUGAUAAGCCGGUUGUGAAAGCCCCGGGCUCAACCUGGGAACGGCAUCCGGAACUGUCAGGCUAGAGUGCAGGAGAGGAAGGUAGAAUUCCCGGUGUAGCGGUGAAAUGCGUAGAGAUCGGGAGGAAUACCAGUGGCGAAGGCGGCCUUCUGGACUGACACUGACGCUGAGGUGCGAAAGCGUGGGUAGCAAACAGGAUUAGAUACCCUUGUAGUC
rnacentral:rRNA from 1 species